rnacentral:tRNA from 1 species
AGUAAGAUGGCCGAGAUUAGGUAAAAGAUUGUAGCUCUUUCAACGGAAUUAAUUUUCCUCUUACUA